rnacentral:rRNA from 1 species
UUCGCAAUGCCCGAAAGGGUGACGAAGCGACGCCGCGUGGGUGAGGAAGGCCCUCGGGUUGUAAAGCCCUGUCAGGAGUUAAGAAAUGUAAGUGCGCUAAUAUCGCAUUUAUUUGACGAAGGCUCCAAAGGAAGCCACGGCUAACUCUGUGCCAGCAGCCGCGGUAAUACAGAGGUGGCAAGCGUUGUUCGGAAUUAUUGGGCGUAAAGAGCACGUAGGUGGGUUUGAAAGUCAGAUGUGAAAGCCUUCUGUUCAACGGAAGAAUUGCAUCUGAAACUGCAAGUCUUGAGUGUAGGAGGGGAGAAUGGAACUUCUGGUGGAGCGGUGAAAUGCGUAGAUAUCAGAAGGAACGCCGGCGGCGAAAGCGGCUCUCUGGCCUGUAACUGACGCUGAGGCGCGAAAGCUAGGGGAGCGAACGGGAUUAGAUACCCCGGUAGUCCUAGCCCUAAACGAUGGGCACUAAGUAGAGGGGUUUU